rnacentral:lncRNA from 1 species
AUUCACUUGGCCACAUGGCACGAAGCUGGGAAGACGGACACCGGUGAGUGGCUGCCCGGGAGGGCUGGUCGGGGCGCGGACAGGCGGGCAUGGUUCUGCCAAGGAUUUUGCUUUAUUUAUCGCAAGACGGGGGGUAUUUCCUCCUUUCUUCAGUUUAUAAUUGCAUGAAUUAGUGCAGUGAAUUGAGGAUGCAGUAAAAAUAUCUUCAAAGAUUAUUAAAUUCGUUAUUAUAAAACACAUAGAAGAGUUUAUGUGUGUAUAUGGAAAGCAGGUAUACAUCAAUAAUUCUUAAUGAAUACAAGAAAGAACUACCAAUAUUGGGGCAAAUUUUUCAAAUACAAACAUCAGUGAAUAUAGGCAAGGCCUUUUCUUUUUUAUUAUUCUAUUUUAAGUUCUAGGGUACAUGUGCACAACGUGCAGGUUUGUUACAUAGGUCGACAUGUGCCGGCAACGCCUUUUCAAUAAUGUCUUACAAGGAGAAACGUGGCUCCUCUAGGUGAGCAGCCCUCAGUGCGCAUCUCCCUGAAGUCCACAUUGAUCCGGCAGAGCUGUGGGGUUCACAGCUCACACUGAGGCAUUCAGGGCCUAAACCCCACUUUACUCUUUUGUACAAUGAAUGGGAAAUCAGUGAUCUAAAUGAGUUUAAAUCUUAUUAGGGAUUCAGCCUGCCCUUCAGACUCUGUCUCUAUUCCUCCCAGAGCUGGGUUCAACAUGAAUUCAAAUACAAAUAUGAGACAAUGAAUUAUGGUAGUGACAAAGACCUUCCUUCGAAUUUCGGAUUUUUCUAGCAGCCCCUUUCUUUCUGCUUCCCACCUGCCUUCAACUCUUUCUCCUAAAAAAGUUCAGUUGGGGUGAACGUUUGGUGACUUAGAACAUCAUUAUUUUAACGUGAUCCCAAAGCGGUUUUCAUUAUAUGCAAAGCUGUAUAUUUAUUUACAUUUUUAAAAAUGUUCUAAAUUGGUUUCUUAUGUCCAAAAGAAGGGGAGCUAGUUAUAAGAAAAGAGAAUUGAGUAACAUAAGAAAGUGCUAAUCAUUUCAAAUUAAAGUGGGAAACAUGCAAAGCAGAAAGAAUCAAUUUCAUAAACUCAACAAAUUAUUAACAUAAACAAUUCCAAACUCUUGUAUCUAUAUAACAUCAGUGAUCUGUGAGGUGAAAUGAGAUUCUGAAGAAAAACUAAAUAAUAAGGCCAUUUUUCUAAGCCAAAAAAGUUUUUGUCAUUAAUUGUGGAAUUUCACCAAUCAAUUUUUUUCUAAUAAAAGUUUCUUAAACUUUUAGUGCCUACUAUUGCUUGUAGGUUAAUAAACCCUAGCAGAAAACAAAAUCAUUAAUGAAAUGGAAAACAAACAUUAAUGGGAAAUUUGUGUAACCUUAAUUCUUAACGUGUCUUAUGAGUUAAUUUUUAAAAUGUGAAGUUUUAUUCUUGGUGUUUGGUAAUUAACUAAGUUUAUUAAUCUCUCACAAAUAUGAGGAAUUUUAUUCCCUAAAGGAACGUGAGGAACACGAGUAGUUCAAGAAAAUGCUGAAGAUGCGCUUGGCUGGGAAGCUAGGAUAGGCUGACGAAGUCAGACUUAGUGUGGGAACCUGGCUGGGAAAGGGUUUCUUUUGGCCAUAAAAGCUACUCCAAUGGCUGUGGGAGACUUAAUUCCAAUUCCAGGUGAUACAGCCGUCAGUCUCCCACUAGCUGUAGGAUGGUGUGCUGCAGUUCACAGGGUAAAGGAGAUAGAAGUGGAUGAAAUGAGAGAGUAUUUUUUUAACUGAACUCUGAUUAAUGCCAAAAGUGUUCAAUCACUAUGUGUGGGGAAGCUUCCUGGUACAAAGGAAAAAAAACAGGUUGUUCAUACACUUGGCUGUGUUAGUAAGUGACCUAAGUCAAUGUUAGUCUACUACUGUACAUCUGGUAACCUCAAUCCCUGCAACCGAGGCAAAAUGGGAUUCCAGGUCUUGGCAACCUUUGAAAUUCCAAUUCCAUUUGCGAGAGCUUUGAGGAGGCCAUAUGCUGAUUUUACCACCAGCAACUUCACAACCCAGUACUGGAAUGCCAUCAGCCAGCAGGCCCCUGCCAUCAUCUGUGACUUCUAUCUGUGGCUCACUGGAAGGAAACCCAGACAAGGCCAAGCUGGGUGAAAGAGCAAUCAGCCACCUCUGCAACCUGCCACCUCCUGCUGGCAGGAUUUGUUUUUGCAUCCUGUGAAGAGCCAAGGAGGCACCAGGGCAUAAGUCUACUCACUUAUAUCUGUUUGUCUGAAACAUAACCCAUGUUUGUUUUUACAACAAAUAAAAUUGAUCUUGAAUAAAA